GCAGCUGCAUAUGUUGGCAUGAUUGAUGAGAUCUGCUACAGUCAAGCAAGCAGCCCUGGGUGACCAGUUUACCCUUCCCUGUGAGGGUUCCAGCUGCCAGUUGCCCCCAUUCUGUGACAGCUUCUCCUUCUCCUCACCUUGUCAUCCAGCCAAGAUUGUACACUGUAGGAGUACAGGCUCAUAGACAGAAGAGAUUUGCCUUGUCUCAGAUGAGACUUUGGACUUGGACUUUUGAGUUAAUGCUGGAAUGAGGCUCUGCCCUUCUUCUUCCUGCCACCAUGUGAAGGACAUGUUUGCUUCUCCUUCUGCCAUAAUUGUUUCUUGAG